UGCUUGGGAGCAGAGGCCCGUGGACCAUGGGGUCCUUUAGACCUCGUCCCAGGACAGAGCCACCUGUCCCCACUGAGGGGCCGCCCCAGCCUCUGCUGGUCAGCGCACUGGUUCCUCCGGGGAGGGGGGAGAGCUGGCUGGCUGCUUGCCCUCCUGAAGCUUCUAAGACCCCUCCCCAUCUUCCAGGCUGGACCCCUCCCUGGCAUCCCAGCAGUGAGGCCCCCUUAGUGGGCAGUUCUGCUGUGCUGCCGGAGGCUGAAGCCUGGUGCUGCGACGUUGGUUGACUGCAUGAGUGACAUGAAUUUCAAUGCAUAAUAAAAAUAAGCAACACUGAGUUCGAUCCUUGGUACCAAAACAAAACAAAACAAAACAAAACAAAACAAAACGGGGUGGGGAUUUAGCUCAGUGGUUCCGCUGCCUGCCCUGCAAGCACAAGGACCCGAGUUCAAUCCCCAGUACCAAACAAAGCAAAACAACAAAAAAAAGAAUAAGCAACACUAAUAUAGGCCUUACAAUCUGCCUGAGCCAUCGGAGCCCUUUUAUUUAAAGUGUCAUUUGCUCUCUUAAUACAGUCACCUUGGAGGGAUUGUUCCUGCCUCCACUUUGCAGAUAGGGAAACAGAGGAGAGAUUUAAUGAGGGAACCAAGCACCAGAUACCCCGUAGAGAGGAAGGACCCAGGGGCUGUCUCAUGGUUCCAUUUGAACAGCUUCCCGGGUCAAGGACCCCUGUGACCUUACACACAAAUUCUGUCCAGUGCUGGAGCUGGAACCCAGGGCCUCUCACCUGCUAGGCAAGCUCUGGACCACUGAGUGACAUCCCUUGCCUGGCACUGGGUCUUUCUUGGCAUCAGUUUCCUCAUCUCUAAAAUGGAAAUGAAGCUGGGCACGGUGGCCUGUAAUCCCAGCGCUUGGGAGGCUGAGGCAGGAGGAUCUUUUUGAGUUCAAAGCCAGUAUGGACUACAUAGCAGGGUCCUGUCUCAAAACUGCAAGAUAGAUGGAGAGAAAGAAAGAAAGAAAGAAAGAAAGAAAGAAAGAAAGAAAGAAGGAAGGAAGGAAGGAAGGAAGGAAGGAAGGAAGGAAGGAAGGAAGGAAGAAAGAAAGAAAGAAAGAAAGAAAGAAAGAAAGAAAGAAAGAAAGAAAGAAAGAAAAGAAAAGAAAAGAAUGAGAGUAACAGGUCUCAGGGAACUCCUGAGAAUGCUGGGAAGAUGUAGGUUGGUUGUUGAGCCCAGGGCUUGGUACCAGGAAAUCUUCACUCACUGCCAAUUCCAUGGAUUUUUUUUUCUCUCACUCCCGAAGCAAGCUUUGAAGUCCUCAUCCCUUGCUGUUUUCUGAAGGCUCAGUCAACCUCUGGGGGAGGGGGCAGAGCUUUGGUCUGUUCGGAGCCUACAGUUUCACCGUCAUUCCUCGCUCCACCAAACACCAGGCGUUUACUACUCUCUGGGCACUGGAGUGACAGACUGGACAGGGCUUGAGCGAUCUGCUCCGCCCCGAGUCCUGGCUCACAAAGCCCUCUGGACCUUCUGUGGCCCGAGCCACCUGCCUGCUGGGUCCUAGGCUCUGUGCUGGGCAGAAGCAGGCUCAGGACUGUGCCGACCAUGCAGCUGUGGGAGCAGAAGAGGCUGGCCUUGAACUCACUGGGUAGCACAGCUGACCUCGAACUUGGGACGAUCCUCCUGCCUCAGCCUCCUGAGUGCUGGAAUUACAGGUGUGUGCUACCAUGCCUGGCUGCAUUUUCUUCUUUUUUUUUUGUAGCAAAACAUUUAUUGGUAGAUUUUAGGCACACAUUAUGAUAACACUCAUCGUAGGAAAUUUGCACCUGUACAUGAUACAUUCCACCUCUUGUUUCCCACUCUCACCCAAGAUCCCUCCCCUCCCUGUGUACAAAAGUUUGUUUCCAUUUUUCCUUCUAUUUUCACUGUUUUUCUUGUCCCUUCCUUCCUUCCUUUCUCCUUCCCCACUCCCUUGUUCCCCUUCCCAUUUGAACAUUUUCUUUCCAUUUCCCAAUAUCCUUCUUUUUCUUUCUCUUUUCUUUUUAUUUUUUUUUGGUACCAGGGAUCGAACUCAGGUCCUUGCGCUUGGGCAGCAGGCGGCGAAAACACUGAGCUAAAUCCCGGGCCCCCACAAUAUCUAUUAUACGUUUUCGUCCUCAUUUCCACUUUUGGUUUCUCACAUGAGGGAAAUAAUGCAAUAUUUAAACAUGUGUGUCCAAUUUAUUUCACUUAAGAGUAUGGUCUCAAGUAGCUAAGUUGUGGGGGUUUUUUAUACAAUGGAGUAUUACUCUGCCAUAAAGAAGGAUGAACUUGAGAUAUUUAAAGCUAAAUGUAUUUUUGUUUUCUUCUGGCCCUUUAUGGUUUUAUCUUCAACCUUUAAAUUUUUGAUCCAUUUGAAUUUACUUUAGUGUUCAAGGUGUGGACCCACGUGUUUUUUUCCAAC
ensembl:lncRNA